rnacentral:rRNA from 1 species
AACGAACGCUGGCGGCAUGCCUAACACAUGCAAGUCGAACGAAGCCUUCGGGCUUAGUGGCGCACGGGUGCGUAACGCGUGGGAAUCUGCCCUUGGGCUCGGAAUAACAGUUAGAAAUGACUGCUAAUACCGGAUGAUGUCUUCGGACCAAAGAUUUAUCGCCCAAGGAUGAGCCCGCGUAGGAUUAGGUAGUUGGUGGGGUAAUGGCCCACCAAGCCGACGAUCCUUAGCUGGUCCGACAGGAUGAUCAGCCACACUGGGACUGAGACACGGCCCAGACUCCUACGGGAGGCAGCAGUGGGGAAUAUUGGACAAUGGGCGAAAGCCUGAUCCAGCAAUGCCGCGUGAGUGAUGAAGGCCUUAGGGUUGUAAAGCUCUUUUACCAGGGAUGAUAAUGACAGUACCUGGAGAAUAAGCUCCGGCUAACUCCGUGCCAGCCGCCGCAGUAAAAC